UACAGAGGUCCCAAGCGUUUGUUCGGAUUCACUGGGCGUAAAGGGUGCGUAGGUGGCUUGGUAAGUUCGAUGUGAAAUCAUCCGGGCUUAACCCGGAAAUGGCAUUGAAUACUAUUGAGCUGGAGGUUUGGAGGGGGGACUGGAAUUCUCGGUGUAGCAGUGAAAUGCGUAGAUAUCGAGAGGAACACCAGUGGCGAAGGCGAGUCCCUGGACAACACCUGACACUGAGGCACGAAAGCUAGGGGAGCAAACAGG
rnacentral:rRNA from 1 species